CUACGGGAGGCAGCAGUGGGGAAUCUUAGACAAUGGGGGCAACCCUGAUCUAGCCAUGCCGCGUGAGUGAUGAAGGCCUUAGGGUCGUAAAGCUCUUUCGCCUGUGAUGAUAAUGACAGUAGCAGGUAAAGAAACCCCGGCUAACUCCGUGCCAGCAGCCGCGGUAAUACGGAGGGGGUUAGCGUUGUUCGGAAUUACUGGGCGUAAAGCGCGCGUAGGCGGAUUAGAAAGUUGGGGGUGAAAUCCCGGGGCUCAACCCCGGAACUGCCUCCAAAACUGCUAGUCUAGAGUUCGAGAGAGGUGAGUGGAAUUCCGAGUGUAGAGGUGAAAUUCGUAGAUAUUCGGAGGAACACCAGUGGCGAAGGCGGCUCACUGGCUCGAUACUGACGCUGAGGUGCGAAAGUGUGGGGAGCAAACAGGAUUAGAUACCCCGGUAGUCCACGCCGUAAACGAUGUCUACUAGCCGUUGGCCUCCUUGAGGGGUUAGUGGCGCAGCUAACGCACUAAGUAGACCGCCUGGGGAGUACGGUCGCAAGAUUAAAACUCAAAG
rnacentral:rRNA from 1 species